UACGGGGGGGGGCAAGCGUUGUUCGGAAUUACGGGGCGUAAAGGGCUCGUAGGCGGCCAACUAAGUCAGACGUGAAAUCCCUCGGCUUAACCGGGGAACUGCAUCUGAUACUGGAUGGCUUGAGUUCGGGAGAGGGAUGUGGAAUUCCAGGUGUAGCGGUGAAAUGCGUAGAUAUCUGGAGGAACACCGGUGGCGAAGGCGGCAUCCUGGACCGACACUGACGCUGAGGCGCGAAAGCUAGGGGAGCAAACGGG
rnacentral:rRNA from 1 species